AGCAUAAUCAUUUGUCUUUUAAUUGGAGUCUGGAAUGAAUGGUUGGAUGAGAAAUUAACUUUCUUUAUUUUUAAAAAAAAAAUUAAUUUUUGAAUCAAAAAGUUUAAAUAAAAUUAAAGGACGAGAAGACCCUAUAGAACUUUAUUUUUUCUUAAAAAAAUUUUAUUUUGUUUAUUUUUAAAAUUUUUUUGGGAAAUAGUUUUGUUGGGGUGACAGAAAAAAAUCAAUAACUUUUUUUAUUACUUUCAUUUAUUUAUGAUAUUUGAUCCUUUAUUAUGGAAAAAAGAUUAAGUUACCUUAGGGAUAACAGCGUUAUUAUUUUAGAGAGUUCUUAUUGAUAAAAUAGUUUGCGACCUCGAUGUUGGAUUAAAAUAAGUUUCAGGAGCAAAAAAUUGAAUAACUAGGUCUGUUCGACCUUUAAAUUUUUACAUGAUCUGAG
rnacentral:rRNA from 1 species